rnacentral:rRNA from 1 species
GAUGAACGCUGGCGGCGUGCCUAAUACAUGCAAGUCGAGCGAACAGACGAGGAGCUUGCUCCUCUGACGUUAGCGGCGGACGGGUGAGUAACACGUGGAUAACCUACCUAUAAGACUGGGAUAACUUCGGGAAACCGGAGCUAAUACCGGAUAAUAUAUUGAACCGCAUGGUUCAAUAGUGAAAGACGGUUUUGCUGGCACUUAUAGAUGGAUCCGCGCCGCAUUAGCUAGUUGGUAAGGUAACGGCUUACCAAGGCGACGAUGCGUAGCCGACCUGAGAGGGUGAUCGGCCCCACUGGAACUGAGACACGGUCCAGCCUCCUCCGGGCGGCCGCCGUCGGGCCUCUUCCUCCCUGGGCUCGCGCCUGCCGGCGCCCCGCCGCGUGCGUGCUGCCGGUCUUCGGAUCGUAAAACUCUGUUAUUAGGGAAGCCCCCCUGUGUCCGUCCCUCUGCCCGUCUUGCCGGUCCCUCCUCCGACCGCCCCGGCUCCCUCCGUG